rnacentral:rRNA from 1 species
AUUGAACGCUGGCGGCAGGCCUAACACAUGCAAGUCGAGCGGAUGAAGGGAGCUUGCUCCUGGAUUCAGCGGCGGACGGGUGAGUAAUGCCUAGGAAUCUGCCUGGUAGUGGGGGAUAAUGUCCGGAAACGGGCGCUAAUACCGCAUACGUCCUGAGGGAGAAAGUGGGGGAUCUUCGGACCUCACGCUAUCAGAUGAGCCUAGGUCGGAUUAGCUAGUUGGUGGGGUAAAGGCCUACCAAGGCGACGAUCCGUAACUGGUCUGAGAGGAUGAUCAGUCACACUGGAACUGGGACACGGUCCAGACUCCUACGGGAGGCAGCAGUGGGGAAUAUUGGACAAUGGGCGAAAUCCUGAUCCAGCCAUGCCGCGUGUGUGAAGAAGGUCUUCGGAUUGUAAAGCACUUUAAGUUGGGAGGAAGGGCAGUAAGUUAAUACCUUGCUGUUUUGACGUUACCAACAGAAUAAGCACCGGCUAACUUCGUG